AUCUCAGUAGCUCAGUGGUAGAGCGGUUGUCUUUUAACUGACUGGUCGUAGGUUCGAGUCCUACUUGUU
rnacentral:tRNA from 1 species